AACGAACGCUGGCGGCAUGCCUAACACAUGCAAGUCGAACGAACCCUUCGGGGUUAGUGGCGCACGGGUGCGUAACGCGUGGGAAUCUGCCCUUUGCUUCGGAAUAACAGUUAGAAAUGACUGCUAAUACCGGAUGAUGUCUUCGGACCAAAGAUUUAUCGGCAAGGGAUGAGCCCGCGUAGGAUUAGGUAGUUGGUGGGGUAAAGGCCUACCAAGCCGACGAUCCUUAGCUGGUCUGAGAGGAUGAUCAGCCACACUGGGACUGAGACACGGCCCAGACUCCUACGGGUGGCAGCAGUGGGGAAUAUUGGACAAUGGGCGCAAGCCUGAUCCAGCAAUGCCGCGUGAGUGAUGAAGGCCUUCGGGUCGUAAAGCUCUUUUACCAAGGAUGAUAAUGACAGUACCUGGAGAAUAAGCUCCGGCUAACUCCGUGCCAGCAGCCGCAGUAACAC
rnacentral:rRNA from 1 species